rnacentral:rRNA from 1 species
CCGGCCUGAGAGGGCGACCGGCCACACUGGGACUGAGACACGGCCCAGACUCCUACGGGAGGCAGCAGUGGGGAAUAUUGCGCAAUGGGCGAAAGCCUGACGCAGCGACGCCGCGUGCGGGAUGAAGGCCUUCGGGUUGUAAACCCCUUUCAUCAGGGAAGAAGCGAAAGUGACGGUACCUGCAGAAGAAGCACCGGCUAACUAUGUGCCAGCAGCCGCGGUAAUACAUAGGGUGCAAGCGUUGUCCGGAAUUAUUGGGCGUAAAGAGCUCGUAUGUGGUUAGUCACGUCGGAUGUGAAAAUCCGGGGCUCA